rnacentral:rRNA from 1 species
UGAAUACGAGAUGCUACGGCGUCGAAGCAGUGUAUGUCAGACUUCCAAGAAAAGCUCGCAAUGUCAUAAAUAAAGAAUGCCUGUACCAUAACCGACACAGGUGGGUAGGUAGAGUAUACUAAGGGGCGCGAGAUAACUCUCUCUAAGGAACUCGGCAAAAUAACUCCGUAACUUCGGGAGAAGGAGUGCCUUCUUGAAGAAGGUUGCAAUAACAAGAUCCAAGCAACUGUUUAUCAAAAACACAGGUCUCCGCUAAGUCGAAAGACGAUGUAUGGGGGCUGACGCCUGCCCAGUGCCAGAAGGUUAAAGAAGCUGGUUAGCAAUAGCGAAGCUGGUGACUGAAGCCCUGGUGAACGGCGGCCGUAACUAUAACGGUCCUAAGGUAGCGAAAUUCCUUGUCGGGUAAGUUCCGACCCGCACGAAAGGCGUAAUGAUUUGGAUACUGUCUCGGAGAGGGACUCGGUGAAAUAGACUUGUCUGUGAAGAUGCGGACUACCUGCACCGGGACAGAAAGACCCUAUGAAGCUUUACUGUAACUUGAAAUUGAAAUUGGACUUUAUUUGCGCAGUAUAGGUGGAAGGCGUUGAGAUUACUCUUGCGGGAUUAGUGGAGCCAUCAGUGAGAUACCACUCCUAUAAUGUUAGAUUUCUAACUUUGGAUCAUAAUCUGGUCAAAGAACAGUUUCAGGCGGGCAGUUUGACUGGGGCGGUCGCCUCCCAAAUGGUAACGGAGGCGUACAAAGGUUUCCUCUGAACGGGUAGAAAUCGUAUCUAGAGUGUAAAGGCAUAAGGAAGCUUGACUGUGAGACCUACAAGUCGAGCAGGGACGAAAGUCGGUCUUAGUGAUCUGACGGUGCUGAGUGGAAAGGCCGUCACUCAACGGAUAAAAGUUACUCUAGGAUAACAGGCUGAUCUCCCCCAAGAGUUCACAUCGACGGGGAGGUUUGGCACCUCGAUGUCGGCUCAUCGCAUCCUGGGGCGGUAGUACGUCCCAAGGGUUGGGCUGUUCGCCCAUGAAAGCGGUACGCGAGCUGGGUUCAGAACGUCGUGAGACAGUUCGGUCCAUAUCCGGUGUAGGCGUUAGAAUAUUGAGAGGAGCCUUCUUUAGUACGAGAGGACCGAGAAGGACAUACCUCUGGUGUACCAGUUAUCGUGCCAACGGUAAACGCUGGGUAGCUAUGUAUGGAGAGGAUAACCGCUGAAAGCAUCUAAGUGGGAAGCCCACCUCAAGAUGAGUAUUCUCAUC